AGUAACACGUGGGGAACCUGCCCCUAAGUCUGGGAUACCAUUUGGAAACAGGUGCUAAUACCGGAUAAGAAAGCAGAUCGCAUGAUCAGCUUUUGAAGGGCGGCGUAAGCUGUCGCUAAGGGAUGGCCCCGCGGUGCAUUAGCUAGUUGGUAAGGUAACGGCUUACCAAGGCGACGAUGCAUAGCCGAGUUGAGAGACUGAUCGGCCACAUUGGGACUGAGACACGGCCCAAACUCCUACGGGAGGCAGCAGAC
rnacentral:rRNA from 1 species